rnacentral:rRNA from 1 species
UACGUAGGGUGCAAGCGUUGCCCGGAUUUAUUGGGCGUAAAGCGCACGCAGGCGGUCUGUUAAGUCAGAUGUGAAAUCCCCGGGCUUAACCUGGGAACUGCAUUUGAAACUGGCAGGCUUGAGUCUUGUAGAGGGGGGUAGAAUUCCAGGUGUAGCGGUGAAAUGCGUAGAGAUCUGGAGGAAUACCGGUGGCGAAGGCGGCCCCCUGGACAAAGACUGACGCUCAGGUGCGAAAGCGUGGGGAGCAAACAGG